UCCGGCGCCGAGGAACCAACAGAACAACAGUUUAGAUUUCCAUCUAAAAUAAGCAAGAUCUCACACUUGCGUCCACAAUCUCAGGAAGCGCCGCAAUAGGUCAGUGUGUCUGCCAGUUUCUCGUAAAACAAACAAAAAUAAAAUACCCUGUACCACAAGGUUUAAGAAGAAAUUCUCUGCCCGUGUAAAUGCUUUCCUGUUUGGACAACAGUAUGAGGACACCAACUGCAAGGCCUUCGGCGAUAGGCUACUGCUAAUCUUACAUUAGCUUACAUUGGCAGCAGGAGUCACGGUUUACUCAUCGCUAAUGAGGAUCAUUUGGACAAUGUUUGUCAGUGUGGCCGCACUAUGACGCAGUUUGCUCUCAAAACAUGCUCUGCGUUUGUGACUGUGACAACCUGUUACAUUUGUUGGCUAAAUCGGACUACAGAGGCUGUCGGCGACGUUGAAUGCCAUCACACCAAACAGACUUUUCUCAUAGGCAAAACUAAAAUGAUGACGAUGACCGCAUUACAACACUUGAUCAAUAAUUCAUAGUCAGAGUUUAAAAGUUAGAUGAAGUUUGGUAAUGUGCUAUGUAGGUCUACUGCAGCUCAUCAAGUCAUCUGCUCCCAGGACAAAUGUUGUCAUAUCCGACAAGAUGAAGACUCUGGCCCCACAGUGCUGAGUUAAGCAAAGCAUGCAGGAAGGGACGAAAACAAAGCACAACAUUCUUUACUUCAUGCAACACACUGAGGUAAAUGCUAUUUAAAAAAAAAGAGAAAGAAACAUCUUCACAGCUGCUUCCUUUGGUUUUUGCUAUUCAGUAAUCCUUACAUACAGUGAUCAAUGUGUCACUGUUUGUUUUGUUGCAUGACAUCAUUCUCUACAGAAAUGAAAGCUGAAAAUAGUAAAUAAUGAAGUGAUGAUUCUAGACACACAAUAAAUCUGUGCAGUUUAGCGACAAUUCUGUUAACAUGGCAAUUCUGAUCUCCAUUUUGAACAUUUAUUGUGUUUGACUGCAAAUCGCAUAACGUCAGUGCAAACAGCAAAG